rnacentral:rRNA from 1 species
UACAGAGACUGCGAGCGUUAUUCGGAUUCACUGGGCGUAAAGGGUGCGCAGGCGGCCGUGUGUGUUGGGCGUGAAAGCCCGGGGCUUAACCCCGGAAUUGCACCCAAAACUACAUGGCUAGAGCAUUGGAGAGGGUAGCAGAAUUCAUGGUGUAGCAGUGAAAUGCGUAGAUAUCCGGAGGAACACCGGUGGCGAAGGCGGCUUCCUGGACCGACACUGACGCUGAGGCGCGAAAGCUAGGGGAGCAAACGGG